CAACUAGACAGCUGGUUAGUGUGUAUUGUUUAGACUGAGGGCAAUGUGGACCAACUAGACAGCUGGUUAGUGUGUAUUGUUUAGACUGAGGUCAAUGUGGACCAACUAGACAGCUGGUUAGUGUGUAUUGUUUAGACUGAGGGCAACGUGGACCAACUAGACAGCUGGUUAGUGUGUAUUGUUUAGACUGAGGUCAAUGUGGACCAACUAGACAGCUGGUUAGUGUGUAUUGUUUAGACUGAGGUCCAUGUGGACCAACUAGACAGCUGGUUAGUGUGUAUUGUUUAGACUGAGGUCAAUGUGGACCAACUAGACAGCUGGUUAGUGUGUAUUGUUUAGACUGAGGUCAAUGUGGACCAACUAGACAGCUGGUUAGUGUGUAUUGUUUAGACUGAGGGCAAUGUGGAUCAACCAGACAGCUGGCUUGUGUGUAUUUUUUACACUGAGGUCAAUGUGGACCAACUAGACAGCUGGUUAGUGUGUAUUGUUUAGACUGAGGGCAAUGUGGACCAACUAGACAGCUGGUUAGUGUGUAUUGUUUAGACUGAGGUCAACGUGGACCAACUAGACAGCUGGUUAGUGUGUAUUGUUUAGACUGAGGGCAAUGUGGACCAACUAGACAGCUGGCUAGUGUGUAUUGUUUAGACUGAGGUCCAUGUGGACCAACUAGACAGCUGGUUAGUGUGUAUUGUUUAGACUGAGGGCAACGUGGACCAACUAGACAGCUGGUUAGUGUGUAUUGUUUAGACUGAGGUCAAUGUGGAUCAACCAGACAGCUGGCUAGGGUGUAUUGUUUAGACUGAGGGCAACGUGGACCAACUAGACAGCUGGUUAGUGUGUAUUGUUUAGACUGAGGUCAAUGUGGACCAACUAGACAGCUGGUUAGUGUGUAUUGUUUAGACUGAGGUCAAUGUGGACCAACUAGACAGCUGGUUAGUGUGUAUUGUUUAGACUGAGGUCAAUGUGGACCAACUAGACAGCUGGUUAGUGUGUAUUGUUUAGACUGAGGUCAAUGUGGACCAACUAGACAGCUGGUUAGUGUGUAUUGUUUAGACUGAGGUCAAUGUGGACCAACUAGACAGCUGGUUAGUGUGUAUUGUUUAGACUGAGGUCCAUGUGGACCAACUAGACAGCUGGUUAGUGUGUAUUGUUUAGACUGAGGGCAACGUGGACCAACUAGACAGCUGGUUAGUGUGUAUUAUUUAGACUGAGGGCAAUGUGGACCAACUAGACAGCUGGUUAGUGUGUAUUAUUUAGACUGAGGGCAAUGUGGACCAACUAGACACCUGGCUAGUGUGUAUUGUUUAGACUGAGGGCAACGUGGACCAACUAGACAGCUGGUUAGUGUGUAUUGUUU